rnacentral:lncRNA from 1 species
GGAAAUUGCGUUAGAAUAUCAUGGAGAAUAUAAGACUUCAAUCUCUUUCGUGAAUAAAAAAAAUGAAAGCAUAUAUGGUAGCCGGUGCUUGAAUGUAUGAUUAUACAAUCCAAUCCAAUAAUCAAAAGACAUCUGGGAAAGAACAAAAAAUGGUUGUUGCAAAGAGGCAAGGACGGUCAUCUCCUUGGUCGAUAUCGACAGAUUUGGUCAAACAGAGGGAGAAGGUG